UAGAGUUUUCAAACUCCCAACCCAUGUGAACAUACCUAUUGUUGCCUCGGCAGGUCGCAGACUGCCGGGAAAGGUCCCCUACCCUGGGGGCCUACCCGGGAGCUGCGGUCAAGCCUGCCGGCGGCCCGCAAAACUCUGUUUAGCAUUGAAAUUCUGAAUCAUAACUAAAUAAGUUA
rnacentral:misc_RNA from 1 species